ACUUUGCUUCCCUCUCCCUCAACCGGCGACCCUCUCUACUGCCGGUGCAAACAGCCACGAGAAUCCAUCACCAUCUUGCUCAUAACCUCUCUUCCUCCUUCAAACUUUAAACCCGUUCCCAACCUCCGAUUGUCACCUCGAAGAAUAAGAAAAGGUUUCUCUUCUAUUUGCUUGGCCUUUCCUUUUUAUUUUAUUUUAUUUUUCA
rnacentral:lncRNA from 1 species